CCAACAGAAAGAAAUAGCUAUCACGGAAAUAACAAAUAAGCAUCCCGUACAUUUAUCAUGCUCAGUAAAGAAGACAGCAGGCACCACUCCCAGGCCAUAUCAAUCAUACACUAAACUAAAUGUAGUCCCUGCAUCCCUGCUGUUUUUUUUUUUGGGGGGGGGGAGGGGGGGAGGAAGGGGGUGGGGGGGACAGGUCAGAGGCAGGAGG
rnacentral:lncRNA from 12 species